ACGGGUGAGUAACGCGUGGGAAUCUACCCAUCUCUACGGAAUAACGCAUGGAAACGUGUGCUAAUACCGUACACGUCCUUCGGGAGAAAGAUUUAUCGGAGAUGGAUGAGCCCGCGUUGGAUUAGCUAGUUGGUGGGGUAAAGGCCUACCAAGGCGACGAUCCAUAGCUGGUCUGAGAGGAUGAUCAGCCACACUGGGACUGAGACACGGCCCAGACUCCUACGGGAGGCAGCAGUGGGGAAUAUUGGACAAUGGGCGCAAGCCUGAUCCAGCCAUGCCGCGUGAGUGAUGAAGGCCCUAGGGUUGUAAAGCUCUUUCACCGGUGAAGAUAAUGACGGUAACCGGAGAAGAAGCCCCGGCUAACUUCGUGCCAGCAGCCGCGGUAAUACGAAGGGGGCUAGCGUUGUUCGGAUUUACUGGGCGUAAAGCGCACGUAGGCGGACUAUUAAGUCAGGGGUGAAAUCCCGGGGCUCAACCCCGGAACUGCCUUUGAUACUGGUAGUCUUGAGUUCGAGAGAGGUGAGUGGAAUUCCGAGUGUAGAGGUGAAAUUCGUAGA
rnacentral:rRNA from 1 species